CGGUCUAACAAAAUCUUUUAGUACUGAUAACAAAUUUUAAAAAAAUAAACCAAUCGCUGAUCAUUAUUGAUCCUCCUGACAUCAUUGCUAUCUUCGCCAUCUUUGUUACAGAAAAUUAUUUUCAAAGAUCUUAUUUAUUUUUAUAAGUCCAUGAAACAAAACAGAAAUAUCCAGAUGACAUUCAGAUGACAUUCAGAUUGGUCAUAGUAAUCAGCUGGAAAUUAUAUUGAGGGGACUUCGGCUUGUCAACUAAAAUCACCACGGACCUGCUAGAGCACUAGAUUUUUCAUUACAGAAGAAGUUUAAGAACUGAAUCGUUUCUCUAUAGAGAAAAGGUUGAAAAGCAUUUUAAUUUGAGGAUAUUCCAACCUGAAGCAAGUUGUACAAAUGUUAAUGAUGGAAGACCCUGUUAGAAUACUGUGCAUACCUGGGGCUAAAACUUAAUCAAAGAUGACCUAUGCUGAAGUGGUGAGACUUGCUAUGCAUGUAACAGGAGACCAAACUGAGACCACCUUUGAUAUAAAGUGUAUAGAAAUGAAGAAAUCAAUGGGAGCCCCUGCCAAAAGGAGGAGUGUUGUUACAGAAUAUAAGUUCCCAAUGAAACAGGGUAUAGAUGAGUGAUCUAGUGUUUGAGUUCACUGAGGAUGUGGCUGUCAUCCUAACAAACAAAGGUUUACAUAGUAUUUAUCAGGCAACAUUCAGACAGUCAGAUAUUCUACAUUUCGGAUACGGAAUAAAGAAAUUGCUGUUGAGGAAGAGAGGAGUUUCUGUGACGAGAUUGAUACACAUAGAGCAU